GACGAACGCUGGCGGUGUGCUUAACACAUGCAAGUCGAACGGUAAGGCCCUUUCGGGGGUACACGAGUGGCGAACGGGUGAGUAACACGUGAGUAACCUGCCCUCAUCUCUGGGAUAACAGUCGGAAACGGUUGCUAAUACUGGAUAUGAGCUUGCAAGGCAUCUUGUGGGUUGGAAAGAUUUUUUUGGUUGGGGAUGGACUCGCGGCCUAUCAGCUUGUUGGUGAGGUAGUGGCUCACCAAGGCUUCGACGGGUAGCCGGCCUGAGAGGGCGACCGGCCACAUUGGGACUGAGAUACGGCCCAAACUCCUACGGGAGGCAGCAGUGGGGAAUAUUGCACAAUGGACGGAAGUCUGAUGCAGCAACGCCGCGUGCGGGAUGACGGCCUUCGGGUUGUAAACCGCUUUCAAUUGUGACGAAGCUUUUUGUGACGGUAGCAGUAGAAGAAGCACCAGCUAACUACGUG
rnacentral:rRNA from 1 species